AAGCCGUUACUUUCCCGGGAAAAUCUGUGUCAGUGUCACACCAAUGGAUUUCCCGGCAAAAUCAACGCCCAAAACCCUCCAUUUUCCGGCCAAUAUCAUCCGGAGAUCGAAGAUCGACUUCUAGAUAUUUAUCAGGGAGAGCUUUGUCCAGUGCAAAAGCAAUCGAAUGUCGAAAUCCGUGCGAUCCUCGAGUAAAAAUAGCCGCGGCAGCAUCUCAAUCUCGGCGGCGUUCUCGAAAGAUAGUUAUCGAUAAUCCGGUGGUUUGAGAAACGAAAAAGGGCUUGAUUCACUUUGUGGGGACUGGAGGUUGCGGAUUGUCUGCGCUGCCCAUGGUUGCCCUGCAACAGGGUUAUGAGGUUAGCGGCUCGGAUAUUGCUUGGAGUAGCUUCAUGGACGGGCUGCAGGAAGCAGGGGCAUUGUUGCACACAGGCCAUUCGGUGGCUAACACACAAGGGAGUGGCGCCUCGAGAUUACCUGGAGCUGCGGUUGUUUCAAAUUCUGUUCCCCAUAACAAUGCUGAGAUUUUGUAUGCAAAGUCCGUCGGAAUUCCCGUGUGAGUACAUCUCUGCUAAUUGGUAUUUGAUUUGAAGCAAUUAGAAGUUCUUUAGGUGUGUAAUGUUAUAACACCGAAAACUUCGACUAGAAACUGUAAAUCUGAAUUCCAAAUUAUUAGUCUAGCAGUUGUGCGAGGUCGAGUUUGUAGAUUGUGUGCAACUGUAUAUAUGACGAUUACGCUCAUCAUCCAACAGAAUUUAGUGCAGUUAUUCAAGCUGCACGCCCGAGGUUCCCUGUCAAGUCUCUUAUGGUCGUAUUCCAGCCUCGUACGUACAGGUAUUCACUCAAGAUGAGAACAAUGCAGAAUCCCUUUAAGCAGUUUCUGGUAUCACUAGCACGAUUCAUAUAAUUGCGCUAGACUGAUUGGUGAUACGCAGUCGUUUAGCAGCACUGAAGGAUGACUUCGCCGAUGUCCCCGUGGUGCAGAUCAUGUCGUAGUCGCAGAUGUUUAUGCUGCUAGAGAAAUAGAUGUCCAGAAUGUAUGUGGAAGGGAGGGAGCCCGCCAUCUGAAUACAUCCCUUCUCUGGUAAUACCAAUGUUUUCAAAUUGUUUAGAACACAAUUGUUUCUGAAUUGCACGCAAAAUAUGACUUUAAAAGAUAAAAAUUCACACGUCAGGAUCAAACGAAAACUCGUUCGUGCUCCAAAUGGUUACCUACGAAGGAUUCUGGUAACCGGAUGAUUUGAAGAUUGUUGAACAUGAGGUUUGGUGGCUUUACAGGGUGAUGUGGUAGAUAUGUUAGUAUCACAAAUAUUGAACAAGCCUCAUCGGGAAAUCGUUGUUUUAAC